rnacentral:tRNA from 1 species
GGCCUGCUAGCUCCGACGAUUAGAGCGUCCUGCUAUGAACGCGAAGGUCACAGGUUCGAUCCUUGUGUAGGCCA